GACGAACGCUGGCGGCGUGCUUAACACAUGCAAGUCGAACGGAAAGGCCCUGCUUUUGUGGGGUGCUCGAUUGGCGAACGGGUGAGUAACACGUGAGUAACCUGCCCUUGACUUUGGGAUAACUUCAGGAAACUGGGGCUAAUACCGGAUAGGAGCUCCUGCUGCAUGGUGGUGGUUGGAAAGUUUCGGCGGUUGGGGAUGGACUCGCGGCUUAUCAGCUUGUUGGUGGGGUAGUGGCUUACCAAGGCUUUGACGGGUAGCCGGCCUGAGAGGGUGACCGGCCACAUGGGGACUGAGAUACGGACCAGACUCGUACGGGAGGCAGCAGUGGGGAAUAUUGCACAAUGGGCGGAAGCCUGAUGCAGCAACGCCGCGUGCGGGAUGACGGCCUUCGGGUUGUAAACAGAUGUCGACUGUGACGAAGAGUGAGUGACGGUAAUGGGUAAAGAAGCAACGGCUAACUACGUG
rnacentral:rRNA from 1 species